GAUGAAGAACGUAGCGAAAUGCGAUAAGUAAUGUGAAUUGCAGAAUUCAGUGAAUCAUCGAAUCUUUGAACGCACCUUGCGCCCUUUGGCUAUUCUGAAGGGCAUGCCUGUUUGAGUAUCGAGAACACCUCAACUCUCAUGGUCUGCCAUGAUGAGCUUGGACUUUGGGGGUCUUGCUGGCCUACUGUCAGCUCCUCUCAAAUGAAUCAGCUUACCAGUGUUUGGUGGCACCACAGGUGUGAUAACUAUCUACGCUUGUGGUUUUCUGCCAGGUAACCUCCAGUGAUGGAGGUUCGCUGGAGCUCACAAAUGUCUCUCCUCAGCGAGGACAGCUUUUUGAACGUUUGAUCUCAAAUCAGGUAGGACUACCCGCUGAACUUAAGCAUAUCAAUAAGCGGAGGA
rnacentral:misc_RNA from 1 species